GCUUCUGUGGCCUUAUCACGCUGGUGGCGCAAGAAUUCUGCUCCCUGCAUCCCAUUGUGGGCUCUGCUCAGUCACAACAAGCUGUGGCUAGGGUGUAUCCGGGUGUGCCUCUGUUCCUAUAUCCAAAGCACCCAAUCAAUAGGCCUGCUCAGCACGCUGAGUCUCAAGUGGGUCCAGCUGUGCCUACCACCGCCCGCUGCUGCUGCCACCUCCACGGCUGCUGCUGCUGCUGCUGUGGCGGCGGCGAAUGGCCAGUAAGCAAAUGCUGGCAGUGUCCACUCAUCAGGCGAGCGGAAGGCAGGGGCUAUGAAGGUGUGGAGCCCUCCACUUAAACUUCAGAAGGACUCUCUGGGAGCUGCGCGGGGACCUGCAAGCAUAGGAGAUCGCAGACCCUGCAACAGGUAAUCCUGCGGUCUACUCUCGUUGGGAAUGAGACUGUCUACCCUACGCCUGUCCUGCUUUUACAUCUCAGAGGUGAUGACUUGGCCUGAUUUUACAGCCUCACGCUCGCUCUACAGGCAUUUGCCUUGAUGCCUUGUUUCCGAUAACACAGGGGCUUUGAAGCUGAUUCUGGAACCAGUUGAGACUUGGGGAUUACUGGGACAAGAUAAAUAUCUUCUCAUAACAAGAAAUACAUGAAUGUGGAAGGGCAGAGGUGAGAGGCUGGUUUAAAGCGAGUCUCUCCAAGAUCCACGUGCUGGGAGCCUAGGACUGUGAGAGGCGUUGGUCCGUGUGGAGGGGCGCUUUAUGAGUGGAUAUGUUUCCUUAAGGGGAAGUUUGUCCCCUGUUCCUGUUCCUUUAUGAGUGUCCUUCCUUUCCUUUCUGUUUUCUCACAGGCUGAAGCAGUAUAAAGUGUUCA